rnacentral:rRNA from 1 species
UACGGGGGGGGCAAGCGUUGUUCGGAAUUACUGGGCGUAAAGCGCACGUAGGCGGAUCGAUCAGUCAGGGGUGAAAUCCCAGGGCUCAACCCUGGAACUGCCUUUGAUACUGUCGAUCUGGAGUAUGGAAGAGGUGAGUGGAAUUCCGAGUGUAGAGGUGAAAUUCGUAGAUAUUCGGAGGAACACCAGUGGCGAAGGCGGCUCACUGGUCCAUUACUGACGCUGAGGUGCGAAAGCGUGGGGAGCAAACAGG